rnacentral:rRNA from 1 species
AAGUCAGAUGUGAAAUCCCGGGGCUCAACCUCGGAACUGCAUUUGAUACUGUCUUUCUUGAGGGUAGACGGAGAAAGUGGAAUUCCACAAGUAGCGGUGAAAUGCGUAGAUAUGUGGAAGAACACCGGUGGCGAAGGCGACUUUCUAGUUUAUACCUGACGCUGAGGCGCGAAAGCUAGGGGAGCAAACAGGAUUAGAUACCCUGGUAGUCCUAGCUGUAAACGAUGCACACUUGAUGUAAAUGGUCUCAACCCCAUUUGUGUCGAAGCUAGCGUGAUUAGUGUGCCGCCUGGGGAGUACACUCGCAAGGGUGAAACUCAAAAGAAUUGACGGGGACCCGCACAAGCAGUGGAACAUGUGGUUUAAUUCGAUGCAACGCGAAGAACCUUACCUAGGCUUGACAUGCAGAUGACGUAUUCAGAAAUGAAUAUUUCCUUCGGGACAUCUGUGCAGGUGCUGCAUGGCUGUCGUCAGCUCGUGCCGUGAGGUGUUGGGUUAAGUCCCGCAACGAGCGCAACCCUUAUCGUUAGUUGCCAGCAAUUCGGUUGGGCACUCUAACGAGACUGCCUGGGUUAACCAGGAGGAAGGUGAGGAUGACGUCAAGUCCGCAUGGCCCUUACGUCUAGGGCUACACACGUGUUACAAUGGCCGGCACAGAAGGCAGCGAAGCCGUAAGGUGGAGCAAAUCCUAGAAAGCCGGUCCCAGUUCGGAUUGUAGUCUGCAACUCGACUACAUGAAGUUGGAAUUGCUAGUAAU